rnacentral:tRNA from 1 species
GGAGAGAUGGCUCAGUGGGUAAGAGCACUGAUUGUUCUUCAAGAGGUCCUGAGUUCGAUUCCCAGCAACCACA